GACGAACCGUGCGAACGUUGUUCGGAAUCACUGGGCUUAAAGGGCGCGUAGGCGGGUCUUCAAGUUUGGGGUGAAAUCCUCCGGCUCAACCGGAGAACUGCCUCGAAUACUGAAGGUCUCGAGGGGGAUAGGGGCAUGCGGAACUACGGAUGGAGCGGUGAAAUGCGUUGAUAUCCGUAGGAACUCCGGUGGCGAAGGCGGCGUGCUGGAUCCCUUCUGACGCUGAGGCGCGAAAGCCAGGGGAGCAAACGGG
rnacentral:rRNA from 1 species